UUCUACUGUAGACAAGUCUGGACUUGUUCUAUGUGGCCAUAGACUGCAGAACCACCAGGGAAAAGAUGACAAAGAUCCACAUUCAGGCCUCAGCAAACAAUAUGGAGUCAUGGACCACAGGCAUCCUGUGUUCUGCCAUUGCAGGGAGGUAAUUACCACAAUGCUCCUUCAUUCCAUACUCUUCCUGGGCCAAUCAGCUUCCCUCACGGGGAGAGGGCAGCCAAUCAGCAUUCAGAUACUCCGAAGAGCAAACUGACAGCUUGGAUCCCAGCAGCUGGUUUGAUUAUCCCCUUAGAGAGAGUGUAGAGUUGAAGUCUCUCAUGGAAGAUAAGUCAAGAUGGGAGAAGAUUCCAAGUUGUUUAUUUAUAAGUGAGAGCUUCAUCUUCAAACAGCUUUGAGAGGAAGCCUGUCACUAAGGACUGAACUGAAUUUUCCAUUCCAAGACUUAAUUCUCUUUAGGGCUUAACAGUCUUUCCUGCUGCUGCUAUUUCCAGAAAUAACCAAAAUGCCUACAGAGUGAUGUCAAUGGCACCAGUGAUCAGAUAACAGCCUGCACUGUGAAGUAACAGAUGAAGCUUUUCUGUUAAAUCUAAAACAAACUGCAGAAACCCUGAAUACUUUUCUUUUGAAUCAGCAUGAAAUGGACCAUAUAUAUAUAAAACUUAUUCUCUAA